rnacentral:rRNA from 1 species
GAGCUUGCUCCUCUGACGUUAGCGGCGGACGGGUGAGUAACACGUGGAUAACCUACCUAUAAGACUGGGAUAACUUCGGGAAACCGGAGCUAAUACCGGAUAAUAUAUUGAACCGCAUGGUUCAAUAGUGAAAGACGGUUCUGCUGUCACUUAUAGAUGGAUCCGCGCCGCAUUAGCUAGUUGGUAAGGUAACGGCUUACAAAGGCAAACGAUGCGUAGCCGACUUGAGAGGUUGAUCGCCCACACUGGAAGUGAGACGCGCUCCAGACUCAUACGGGACACACCAGUAGGAUAUCUUCCGCAAUGGGAAAACGCGUGAGGGACCAACGCCGCGUGAGUGAUGAAGUUCUGCGGAUCGUAAAACUCUGUUAUGAGGGAAGAACAAAUGUGUAAGUAAAUAGGCAUGUCUGGACGGUACUUAAUCAGAAAGCCGCGGCUAAAUACGUGCCAGCAGCCGCGGUAAUACGUAGGUGGCAAGCGUUAUCCGGAAUUAUUGGGCGUAAAGCGCGCGUAGGCGGUUUUUUAAGUCUGAUGUGAAAGCCCACGGCUCAACCGUGGAGGGUCAUUGGAAACUGGAAAACUUGAGUGCAGAAGAGGAAAGUGGAAUUCCAUGUGUAGCGGUGAAAUGCGCAGAGAUAUGGAGGAACACCAGUGGCGAAGGCGACUUUCUGGUCUGUAACUGACGCUGGUGUGCGAAAGCGUGGGGAUCAAACAGGAUUAG